CAGACAGACAUAUGGGGAAGAGAUGGGGGAUAUUGGGGUGAGAGAUGGGAGAGUUACAGGAGAGAGAUGGGUGAAAGAUGGGGGAGAUAAGGGUGACAAAUGGGUGAGAGACGAGGGAGAGAUGAGGAGAUAUGGGGGAGAGAUGGAGGAGAUACGGGUGAUAGAUGAGAGGGAUACGGGUGAGAGAUUGGGUAGAUAUGGGGGAGAUACGGGUGAGAGAUGGGGGAGAGAUAUGGGGGAGAUACAGGUGAGAGAUUGAGGAGAGAUGGAGGAGAGAUGGGGGAGAUACAGGUGACAAAUGGGUGAGAUGGGGGGGAUAUGGGGAGAUACGGGUGACAAAUGGGUGAGAGACAGGAGAGAUGGGGAAGAUACAGGUGACAAAUGGGAGAGAUGGGGGAGAGAUGAAGGUGAUACGGGUGAGAGAUGGGGGAGAUAUGGGAGAGAUGCGGGUGAGAGAUGGGGGAGAGAUGGGGGAGAUAUGAGUGAGAGAUGGGGGAGAUACGAGUGAGAGACGGGGGAGAUACGGGGGAGAGAUGGGGAGAUAUGGAGGAGAGAUGGAGGAGAUACGGGGGAGAGAUGGGGAGAUAUGGAGGAGAGAUGGAGGAGAUACGGGUGAGAGAUGGGGCAGAUAUGGAGGAGAGAUGGAGGAGAUACGGGUGAGAGAUGGGGCAGAUAUGGAGGAGAGAUGGAGGAGAUACGGGUGAGAGAUGGGGCAGAUAUGGGGGAGAUACGGGUGAGAGAUGGGGGAGAGAUAUGGGGGAGAUACGGGUGAGAGAUGGAGGAGAGAUGGGGGAGAUAUGGGUGAGAUGGGGGAGAUAUGGGGGAAAUACAGGUGACAAAUCGGUGAGAGACGGGAGAGAUGGGGAAGAUACAGGUUACAAAUGGGUGAGAUGGGGGAGAGAUGGGGAAGAUACAGGUUACAAAUGGGUGAGAUGGGGGAGAGAUGGGGAAGAUACAGGUGACAAAUCGGUGAGAGACAGGAGAGAUGGGGGAGAUACAGGUAACAAAUGGGUGAUAUGGGGGAGAUACAGGUGACAAAUGGGUGAGAUGGGGGAGAUACAGGUGACAAAUGGGUGAGAUGGGGGAGAUACAGGUUACAAAUGGGUGAGAUGGGGGAGAGAUGGGGAAGAUACAGGUGACAAAUCGGUGAGAGACAGGAGAGAUGGGGAAGAUACAGGUUACAAAUGGGUGAGAUGGGGGAGAGAUGGGGAAGAUACAGGUUACAAAUGGGUGAGAUGGGGGAGAGAUGGGGAAGAUACAGGUGACAAAUCGGUGAGAGACAGGAGAGAUGGGGAAGAUACAGGUAACAAAUGGGUGAGAUGGGGGAGAUACAGGUAACAAAUGGGUGAGAUGGGGGAGAUACAGGUGACAAAUGGGUGAGAUGGGGGAGAUACAGGUGACAAAUGGGUGAGAUGGGGGAGAGAUGGGGAAGAUACAGGUUACAAAUGGGUGAGAUGGGGGAGAGAUGGGGAAGAUACAGGUUACAAAUGGGUGAGAUGGGGGAGAGAUGGGGAAGAUACAGGUGACAAAUCGGUGAGAGACAGGAGAGAUGGGGGAGAUACAGGUAACAAAUGGGUGAUAUGGGGGAGAUACAGGUGACAAAUGGGUGAGAUGGGGGAGAUACAGGUGACAAAUGGGUGAGAUGGGGGAGAUACAGGUUACAAAUGGGUGAGAUGGGGGAGAGAUGGGGAAGAUACAGGUGACAAAUCGGUGAGAGACAGGAGAGAUGGGGAAGAUACAGGUUACAAAUGGGUGAGAUGGGGGAGAGAUGGGGAAGAUACAGGUUACAAAUGGGUGAGAUGGGGGAGAGAUGGGGAAGAUACAGGUGACAAAUCGGUGAGAGACAGGAGAGAUGGGGAAGAUACAGGUAACAAAUGGGUGAGAUGGGGGAGAUACAGGUGACAAAUGGGUGAGAUGGGGGAGAUACAGGUGACAAAUGGGUGAGAUGGGGGAGAGAUGGGGAAGAUACAGGUUACAAAUGGGUGAGAUGGGGGAGAGAUGGGGAAGAUACAGGUUACAAAUGGGUGAGAUGGGGGAGAGAUGGGGAAGAUACAGGUUACAAAUGGGUGAGAUGGGGAAGAUACAGCUUACAAAUGGGUGAGAUGGGGGAGAGAUGGGGAAGAUACAGGUGACAAAUCGGUGAGAGACAGGAGAGAUGGGGAAGAUACAGGUGACAAAUGGGUGAGAUGGGGGAGAUACAGGUGACAAAUGGGUGAGAUGGGGGAGAGAUGGGGGAGAUACAGGUGACAAAUGGGUGAGAUGGGGGAGAUAUGGUGGAGAUAUGGGGGAGAUACGGGUGAGAGACGGGGGAGAGAUGGGUGAGAUAUGAGUGAGAGAUGGGGGAGAUACGAGUGAGAGACGGGGGAGA